CGGGCCGCCCGGUGCCGCGUGGCGUCGGUGUUCGGCAAGCGGGGGUGUUUUAGACGGGCGGCCGAGGGUGGCCCUAAGGGGGCACGGUUACCGCGCGCGGGUGGAGUGAGGGAGAAUAGAGGCGGAGUGGGUGAGCGCGGUGCGGGGAAUAGGGGAGGUGAAUGUUUGGGUGUGUUUGAUGUGCGGGUGGGGAGUGGGGAACUAGCUAGUGUGUAGUUUGGGGAGGUGUGCGAGCGGGCGCGCGCGGUGCCUGCGUCGUUACCGGCGGGAGUGGCGGAGGUAGCGGUGGAGGUCGCGGAAGCGGCGCUUCGGCGCGGACCGGGCGGGCGGCCGCGCGGAGAGGCAGAGGACGAGGCGCAGGUCGCCGCUGUUGUUGUGGGGGAGCGAGAGGCGGAGGUAGUUCUGGAAGAGCCGGCGCGACCGCGAGAGCAGGCACGAGGAGAGGAGGCGGCGGUGGAGGGGCGGCGGCCGCCGGCGGCUGUAGCGGCCGGACUGGGGCACGUUCCUCAGGUUCCGCAAGCGGUUCGCCCUCUUCGUCAGCCACUUCUUCGAGUUGAGCAGCGAGUUCUUCAUGCGGGGGCUGAGCCGGGGGCGCGAGCGGUAGGUCCGGUGGUAGCUCUUCUGGUUCGCGGCCAAGCUCUUGAUGCCGUUCAAGCCGGACGAGACGCCGAGGCUGCCGGACGGGGUGGAGUAGCAGUCGCCGCUGGUCGCCGUGACCCCGCUCAAGUAGUGGGGGCCGCACGAGAAGGAGAUGUAGCGGCCGACCUAGCCCACCCAGCCGGCGUCGAUGGAGUAGCGGCAGUCGCCGCUCUUCUUCGGGCGGUACGCCCUCUAGUAGUAGCUGCAGCUCGAGCGGCGGUCCUAGUAGGGGUCCCCGAAGUAGACCGGGCAGCGGCGGAUGGCGCUCGAGUAGUUGCCGCUGGAGCAGCAGCUGCUGCGGCUGUAGCCGAUGAUUCAUCGACGGUACGCACGCACCAACCGAUCAGUCAGGGUUGAGUCUACCCGUCGCCUCCUAACUCCCGAACACCACAGCUAGACGCACCCGAACCACAUCCUCGACUAUCCUAGUACCUCUUUACCUUCGAGCUAGAGAACAUAAAUUCUUUGACUUGGGUUAGAACAUAUUGAUAACAGAAGAGAGAAGUGUAUACACACAAAAUGUUAACAAGUUUAACAACUCUUGGUAAAGUACUACGUGUCGUAUGGUACUCACUUUUACACGGUUGUAUGUAUCCUUUGAGUUCAAACUUUUUUCCAACUAUAAAAAUAUUAUUAGGCAUGAGGGAGGCAAGGAUUUAUAUUCAGAAAGAUGUCUAAAGAGAUGUUUGAUAUAUGCCUACAUAGAUCUGUAUAAAAUCUCACCUCUAAGUGAGUAAAACGAGGCUUACAUCAGGUAUUACUUUAGAGAUUUUUCUGAAUAUAAAUCUUUGCCUCCCUCAUAUUCGGUUUACAGAUGAUCGUUUGAAUUGUAUGUACCAGGUAACCAGGUGUACCUCGUUAUACUGUCUAGACGCAACGAUGAGUCUUUGUGAUGUGGUUGAAACGG
rnacentral:rRNA from 1 species